UACGUAGGGUGCGAGCGUUGCCCGGAUUUAUUGGGCGUAAAGGGCGCGUAGGCGGCUCGGCACGUCCGUUGUGAAAUCUCCGAGCUUAACUCGGAAAGGUCAACUGAUACUGUGCGGCUAGAGUGCGGAAGGGGCAACUGGAAUUCUUGGUGUAGCGGUGAAAUGCGCAGAUAUCGGGAGGAACACCUAUGGCGAAGGCAGCUCGCUGGGACGUUACUGACGCUGAGACGCGAAAGCGUGGGGAGCAAACAGG
rnacentral:rRNA from 1 species